UGGGGAAUUUUGGACAAUGGGCGAAAGCCUGAUCCAGCAAUGCCGCGUGUGUGAAGAAGGCCUUCGGGUUGUAAAGCACUUUUGUCCGGAAAGAAAUCCUUGGCUCUAAUACAGCCGGGGGAUGACGGUACCGGAAGAAUAAGCACCGGCUAACUACGUGCCAGCAGCCGCGGUAAUACGUAGGGUGCAAGCGUUAAUCGGAAUUACUGGGCGUAAAGCGUGCGCAGGCGGUUCGCUAAGACCGAUGUGAAAUCCCCGGGCUCAACCUGGGAACUGCAUUGGUGACUGGCAGGCUAGAGUAUGGCAGAGGGGGGUAGAAUUCCACGUGUAGCAGUGAAAUGCGUAGAGAUGUGGAGGAAUACCGAUGGCGAAGGCAGCCCCCUGGGCCAAUACUGACGCUCAUGCACGAAAGCGUGGGGAGCAAACAGGAUUAGAUACCCUGGUAGUCCACGCCCUAAAACGAUGUCAACUAGUUGUUGGGGAUUCAUUUCCUUAGUAACGUAGCUAACGCGUGAAGUUGACCGCCUGGGGAGUACGGUCGCAAGAUUAAAACUUAAAGGAAUUGACGGGGUCAUAGCUGUUUCCU
rnacentral:rRNA from 1 species